rnacentral:ncRNA from 2 species
CCUUUAUCCAGAGUCGGCGCAGGGACCUGGCCCCAUGACCGCCGCAGCAACCGGCCCUCAUCACGGCAGCGGUGCUUUCCAGACCCGCGCGAGCAGCGCCCGACGAUGGGCGGCGCCGCGGGAACGAUAAAGG